GACUGCUAUCGGAUGAUACUAAGCCAUGCGAGUCUUUGUAGUAAUACAAGGCAGACGGCUCAGUAACACGUAGUCAACCUACCCUAUGGACAAGAAUAAUCUCGGGAAACUGGGCAUAAUUCUUGAUAGAUCAUAAUGCCUGGAAUGGUUUAUGGUUAAAAUGAUUCGUCGCCAUAGGAUGGGACUGCGGCCUAUCAGCUUGUUGGUGAGGUAAUGGCCCACCAAGGCGAUUACAGGUACGGGCUCUGAGAGGAGAAGCCCGGAGAUGGGUACUGAGACACGGACCCAGGCCCUAUGGGGCGCAGCAGGCGAGAAAACUUUGCAAUGUGCGAAAGCACGACAAGGUUAAUCCGAGUGAUUUCUGCUAAAGAAAUCUUUUGCCAGUCGUAAAACCGCUGGUGAAUAAGGGGUGGGCAAGUUCUGGUGUCAGCCGCCGCGGUAAAACCAGCACCUCAAGUGGUCAGGAUGAUUAUUGGGCCUAAAGCAUCCGUAGCCGGCUUUGUAAGUUUUCGGUUAAAUCCAUGUGCUCAACGCAUGGGCUGCCGAAAAUACUGCACAGCUAGGGAGUGGGAGAGGUAGACGGUACUCAGUAGGUAGGGGUAAAAUCCUUUGAUCUAUUGAUGACCACCUGUGGCGAAGGCGGUCUACCAGAACACGUUCGACGGUGAGGGAUGAAAGCUGGGGGAGCAAACCGGAUUAGAUACCCGGGUAGUCCCAGCUGCAAACGAUGCAGACUCGAUGAUGCAUUGGCAUAAUAGCCAGUGCAGUGUCGCAGGGAAGCCGUUAAGUCUGCCGCCUGGGAAGUACGUACGCAAGUAUGAAACUUAAAGGAAUUGGCGGGGGAGCACCACAAGGGG
rnacentral:rRNA from 1 species